AGAGAAGGGCUACCCUGGCUACUGUGGGGAUUAGCACCCGCCGCGGCCGCGAACUGGCCCCCAUCACCGCCGACCUGCCCCGGCCGCCAUGUUGGGAGGAAACGACGCGUCACGCAGCGGCCGAACGGCUGCAGACGAGGAAGCGGCGGCGGCGGCGGCGGCGGCGGCGCUCCCUGCCCAGAGCUGCCGCGGCGCCGGGAGGCUGGGGGCGGAGGGCGGCGCGGGAGGAGCGGCCCGAGCCGCAGCGCUACGGCGGCCCGGCGGGGCCUCCAGCGUUCGCCUGCAGGGCGGCGUGGGGCGUGGCGGGCCUCUGGUGGCACCGCGCCCAGCACUUCGGGCUCUUGGUGGCGGCCGAGCUGCGGGACCAGAGAUCCCCCCACUCGGCACCCCUGCUCCUGCCGAGUGAACAGGACUCCUGGCUACUCUGCACUGGCUUUCUAACUUUCUGAUGGGGGUGCAGUCCUUUGCAUUCCAGGGGUCACAGCAACACCCGCAUCGCCCGUUCUCAGCCGCAGGGUCUCCGCCUGCAUCACUCGACUCUAAAAUUUCCUUCCCUAGUGCACGGAACUGCUGUCCAGGACUCUGCUCUCCGACUACCUCAGGGAGGAUUCUGUUUUGGGAAAAGUAAGCCAAAACCUAUUGAUAAGGGUUCAAAAAUGUUUCACUUUUUUCUCUCUCUGUCGGAUAAAUCGGUCAACUCUAGAUUUCAGGUCCCUUCUGAAUUGACUCAGUUAAGGUGAAUGGUUGUGAAUGAGGUCCCUUAGAGUUCUGUGUUUCUGUGCCUUUAAUACUAAGAUUUAGUCCAGGACAUGUAAACCAGUUUAGAAUGGAAAAGCUUUAAGUACAAACAGAUUAACACACGUGACCAUGUGUUUGCUUUAGUCUGAGUGUAGAACUCAAAUUUCUGCAGUAUUUAAUUUCUACAGUUUCCUUCUGAGCAGAAAAAGAAUACCAUAAAAAUAUUUGCAAACAUUAUAUAUGGUGAUCUAGGGUCACGUCUCCAAGUUCUAAGCUUCUGUGGCUCCACGCACACAGGUUCCCUAAUGUUUACUAUGCAUCUGUCACUGUUCUGUUCUAUUAGAUUGCCUUAACUAUAGGCUUGUCCUAACGUAACCAUCCAAACCUAAGGAAGGAGAAACUUAAGUGACUCUGUGAACUU
rnacentral:lncRNA from 1 species